rnacentral:rRNA from 1 species
AAUUACCCAAUCCUGACACAGGGAGGUAGUGACAAGAAAUAACAAUACAGGGCUUAAAGUCUUGUAAUUGGAAUGAUGGGAAUCUAAACCCUUCCCAGAGUAUCAAUUGGAGGGCAAGUCUGGUGCCAGCAGCCGGGGUAAUUCCAGCUCCAAUAGCGUAUAUUAAAGUUGUUGCAGUUAAGAAGCUCGUAGUUGAAUUUCUGCCUUGUCAUUAAUCUCGCUUCCGAGCGUUUUUUUAUUGACUUGGCAUCUUCUGGAUUUGGUGCCUUCGGGUACUAUUUUCCAGGAUUUACUUUGAGAAAACUAGAGUGUUUCAAACAGGCAUUCGCCUUGAAUACUACAGCAUGGAAUAAUGAAGUAGGACUUUGGUUCUAUUCUGUUGGUUAUUGAGCCAGAGUAAUGGUUAAUAGGAGCAGUUGGGGGCAUUCGUAUUUAA